rnacentral:misc_RNA from 1 species
GUAAAGCUAAUGAAUCCAAUAUUCUUCCAUGUGUCAGUGCCAAAUAUCAGAAUUUUACAGGUCUGGAGAUUAAUUUCUGGGAAGAUCUAAAGUUGUGAAGCCCAUCAGUCAUGCAUGCAGAUUGCAGACAUGGAUUAACCAAUCAACCUCAGCUGGUCUGCCUCACAUGAACAGCUACUUUUAUCUACCUACCCAAUGCAACGAAAAAUGAAGUUAACAUCAAAUUUAG